GAGCUAGGAUGCGUAGUUUUCGCGGAAAA
rnacentral:sRNA from 1 species